rnacentral:rRNA from 1 species
UACAGAGGUCCCAAGCGUUGUCCGGAUUUAUUGGGCGUAAAGAGCGUGUAGGCGGCCAUACAGGUCAGCUGUGAAAACUCGAGGCUCAACCUCGAGACGUCGGUUGAAACCGUAUGGCUAGAGUCCGGAAGAGGAGAGUGGAAUUCCCGGUGUAGCGGUGAAAUGCGCAGAUAUCAGGAGGAACACCGGUGGCGAAGGCGGGUCUCUGGGCCGAUACUGACGCUGAGGAGCGAAAGCGUGGGGGAGCGAACAGG